rnacentral:rRNA from 1 species
AUUGAACGCUGGCGGCAGGCUUAACACAUGCAAGUCGAGCGGAGAUGAGGUGCUUGCACCUUAUCUUAGCGGCGGACGGGUGAGUAAUGCUUAGGAAUCUGCCUAUUAGUGGGGGACAACAUUCCGAAAGGAAUGCUAAUACCGCAUACGUCCUACGGGAGAAAGCAGGGGAUCUUCGGACCUUGCGCUAAUAGAUGAGCCUAAGUCGGAUUAGCUAGUUGGUGGGGUAAAGGCCUACCAAGGCGACGAUCUGUAGCGGGUCUGAGAGGAUGAUCCGCCACACUGGGACUGAGACACGGCCCAGACUCCUACGGGAGGCAGCAGUGGGGAAUAUUGGACAAUGGGGGGAACCCUGAUCCAGCCACGCCGCGUGUGUGAAGAAGGCCUUAUGGUUGUAAAGCACUUUAAGCGAGGAGGAGGCUACUGAGACUAAUACUACUGGAUAGUGGACGUUACUCGCAGAAUAAGCACCGGCUAACUCUGUGCCAGCCGCCGCCGUAAAAC